rnacentral:rRNA from 1 species
AUUGAACGCUGGCGGCAGGCCUAACACAUGCAAGUCGAGCGGAGCGGCGGACGGGUGAGUAAUGCCUAGGAAUCCGCCUGGUAGUGGGGGAUAACGUCCGGAAACGGGCGAUAAUACCGCAUACUAUCAGAUGAGCCUAGUUCGGAUUAGCUAGUUGGUGGGGUAAAGGCCUACCAAGGCGACGAUCAGUAACUGGUCUGAGAGGAUGAUCAGUCACACUGGAGCUGAGACAAGGUCCAGACACCUACGGUAGGCAGCAGUGGUGAAUAUUGGACAAUGGGCGAAAGCCUGAACCGGCCAUGCCGCGUGUGUGAAGGAGGUCUGCUGAUUGUAUAGCACUUUAAGUUAGGAGGCGUUACCAGCAGAAUAAGCACCGGCUAACGUCGUUCCAGCAGCCGCGGUAAUUC